rnacentral:rRNA from 1 species
CUCAUAUUCGCCUUGUCACAGGGCGCCGAGCACAACCUGAUGACGUAUGAGGCGUAUGAUAUCAACGGCUACACAUUCUACACCGAGGACAAGGACAUGAAGAGCGAUGGUUAUCAGAACUCCGGGGUAACGAUGGAAUCCUACACCGGUAACGACAAGGAUAGAUACUACGGAAGGGUCGAGGAGAUCUGGGAGCUGAGCUACGCUGGAGAGAAGGUCCCGAUGUUCCGUGUCAGAUGGGCCAAGAGCGUCAUACAAGAAGACCGGUAUUUCACCACCAUGGUUAUACCCGAAGCCAAAUCCAAGACCGCAGGCGCGAACGUCACCGCGAAAAAUGAGCCAUGGGUACUGGCUUCCCAAGUGGACCAAUGCUUCUUCAUUACCGACCCAUCAAAGCCCAGUCGUGUUGUCGUGAGG